AUUGAACGCUGGCGGCAGGCUUAACACAUGCAAGUCGAACGAGUGGCGGACGGGUGAGUAAUGCUUGGGAAUCUAGCUUAUGGAGGGGGAUAACUACGGGAAAAUGUAGCUAAUACCGCGUACCAUAGGAUGAGCCCAAGUGGGAUUAGGUAGUUGGUGAGGUAAAGGCAGACCAAGCCGACGAUCUCUAGCUGGUCUGAGAGGAUGACCAGCCACACUGGGACUGGAACACGGCCCAGACUCCUACGGGAGGCAGCAGUGUGGAAUAUGGGACAAUGGGCGAAAGCUGAUCCAGCAAUACCGCGUGUGUGAAGACGGCCCUAGGGUUGUAAAGCACUUUUGUUAGGGAGAUGUUACCUAAAGAAUAAGCACCGGCUAACUCCGUGCCAGCAGCCGCGGUAAUUC
rnacentral:rRNA from 1 species